CAGCAGCCGCGGUAAUACGAGGGGGGCAAGCGUUGUUCGGAAUUAUUGGGCGUAAAGGGUGCGUAGGUGGUUAAUUAAGUUAUCUGUGAAAUUCCUGGGCUUAACCUGGGCGUGUCAGAUGAUACUGAUUGACUCGAGUAUGGGAGAGGGUAGUGGAAUUUCCGGUGUAGCGGUGAAAUGCGUAGAGAUCGGAAGGAACACCAGUGGCGAAGGCGGCUACCUGGCCUAAUACUGACACUGAGGCACGAAAGCGUGGGGAGCAAACAGGAUUAGAUACCCGAGUAGUCCCUGUCUCUUAUAC
rnacentral:rRNA from 1 species